AUUGAACGCUAGCGGGAUGCUUUACACAUGCAAGUCGAACGAGUGGCGGACGGGUGAGUAAUGUAUCGGAACGUGCCCAAUAGCGGGGGAUAACUACUCGAAAGAGUAGCUAAUACCGCAUACUAUCGGAGCGGCCGAUAUCGGAUUAGCUAGUUGGGGGGGUAAAGGCUCACCAAGGCAACGAUCCCUAGCUGGUUUGAGAGGAAGACCAGCCACACUGGGACUGCGACACGGCCCAGACCCCUACGGGAGGCAGCAGUGGGGAAUUUUGGACAAUGGGCGCAACCCUGAUCCAGCCAUCCCGCGUGUAUGAGAAGGCCUUCGGGUUGUAAAGUACUUUUGGCAGAGAAGCGGUAUCUGCAGAAUAAACACCGGCUAACUCCGUGCCAGCAGCCGCGGUAAUAC
rnacentral:rRNA from 1 species